UACAGAGGUCUCGAGCGUUGUUCGGAUUCAUUGGGCGUAAAGGGUGCGUAGGUGGCGCUGUAAGUCGGGUGUGAAAUCCUGAGGCUUAACCUCGGAACUGCAUUCGAUACUGCGGCGCUUGAGGACUGGAGAGGAGACUGGAAUUCAUGGUGUAGCAGUGAAAUGCGUGGAUAUCGAUAGGAACACUCGUGGCGAAGGCGAGCUACUGGACAACAUCUGACGCUGAGGCUCGAAGGCUAGGGGAGCAAAAGGG
rnacentral:rRNA from 1 species